UGGGGAAUCUUGGACAAUGGGGGCAACCCUGAUCCAGCCAUGCCGCGUGAGUGAUGAAGGCCUUAGGGUCGUAAAGCUCUUUCGCCUGUGAAGAUAAUGACGGUAGCAGGUAAAGAAACCCCGGCUAACUCCGUGCCAGCAGCCGCGGUAAUACGGAGGGGGUUAGCGUUGUUCGGAAUUACUGGGCGUAAAGCGCACGUAGGCGGACCAGAAAGUUGGGGGUGAAAUCCCGGGGGCUCAACCCCGGAACUGCCUCCAAAACUAUUGGUCUAGAGUUCGAGAGAGGUGAGUGGAAUUCCAAGUGUAGAGGUGAAAUUCGUAGAUAUUUGGAGGAACACCAGUGGCGAAGGCGGCUCACUGGCUCGAUACUGACGCUGAGGUGCGAAAGUGUGGGGAGCAAAACAGGAUUAGAUACCCUGGUAGUCCACACCGUAAAACGAUGAAUGCCAGUCGUCGGGUAGCAUGCUAUUCGGUGACACACCUAACGGAUUAAGCAUUCCGCCUGGGGAGUACGGCCGCAAGGUUAAAAACUCAAAGGAA
rnacentral:rRNA from 1 species